rnacentral:ribozyme from 1 species
UUUUUUUUUUUUUUUUUUUUUUUUUUUUUUUUUCGG